rnacentral:lncRNA from 1 species
AUUUAAAGUGCCUAUGACACGAAAUUUCACCCCAAAUGUUUAUGAUUGCAUUGCAAAGAUCACUUAAAAUGACUUAAUAAUUUCUUUUAUAGAAUUUUGGUAACUUGCUUCCUUUUCAAGAUAUUCAACUUUGUUUCAUAUGCAAAUAUCACCGGUGUGACAUCACAUCGCAUAAUGACAUUUUGAAAACGCAAUAUUUUA